AUUGAACGCUGGCGGCAGGCCUAACACAUGCAAGUCGAGCGAGCGGCGGACGGGUGAGUAAUGUAUGGGGACUGCCCGAUAGAGGGGGAUAACUACUGGAAACGGUAGCUAAUACCGCAUACUAUCGGAUAACCCAUAUGGGAUUAGCUAGUAGGUGAGAUAAUGGCUCACCUAGGCGACGAUCACUAGCUGGGCUGAGAGGCUGAUCAGCCACACUGGGACUGAGACACGGCCCAGACGCCGACGGGGGCAGCAGUGGGGAAUAUUGCACAAUGGGUGCAAGCGUCAUGCAGCCAUGCUGCGUGAAUGAAGAAGGCCCUAGGGUUGUAAACCUCUUUCGCUAUCGAACGGGUAGGUGGAGAAGAAGCGCCGGCUAACUACGUGCCAGCAGCCGCGGUAAUUC
rnacentral:rRNA from 1 species